AGGUCAAGUGAAGAAGGGCGCACGGUGAAUGCCUUGGCACUGGAAGCCGAUGAAGGACGCGACUAACCGCGAAAGUCUUCGGGGAGCCGUAAGUAGGCUUUGAUCCGGAGGUCUCCGAAUGGGGGAACCCAGCAUGUGCAGACAUGCUAUCCUUAAGUGAAUACAUAGCUUAAGGAGGGAACACGCAGUGAACUGAAACAUCUAAGUAGCUGCAGGAAGAGAAAGAAAUAUCGAUUUCCCAAGUAGCGGCGAGCGAACAGGAAAGAGCCCAAACCGGCAGAUUUAUCUGCCGGGGUUGUAGGACUGAGACAUGGCACUUCAGAGGAUAGCAGAAGCGUUUGGGAAAGCGCGCCAGAGAGGGUGAGAGCCCCGUAAGCGAAAUCCAAAGAAGGCCUAUCAGUAUCCUGAGUAGGGCGGGACACGUGAAAUCCCGUUUGAAUCCGCGAGGACCAUCUCGCAAGGCUAAAUACUAACCAGUGACCGAUAGUGAACCAGUACCGUGAGGGAAAGGUGAAAAGAACCCCGGGAGGGGAGUGAAAGAGAACCUGAAACCGUGUGCCUACAAGUAGUCAGAGCCCGUUAACGGGUAAUGGCGUGCCUUUUGUAGAAUGAACCGGCGAGUUGCGUUAGUCAGCAAGGUUAAGUCAGAAAAGACGGAGCCGUAGCGAAAGCGAGUCUGAAUAGGGCGAGCAGUUGGCUGACGCAGACCCGAAACCAAGUGACCUACCCAUGACCAGGUUGAAGGCGCGGUAAAACGCGCUGGAGGACCGAACCCACGUAAGUUGAAAAUUGCGGGGAUGAGUUGUGGGUAGCGGUGAAAUUCCAAACGAACUUGGAGAUAGCUGGUUCUCUCCGAAAUAGCUUUAGGGCUAGCCUCGCAAAGAGGAUGCUGGAGGUAGAGCUCUGUUUGGACUAGGGGCCCGUCAAGGGUUACUGAAUUCAGAUAAACUGCGAAUUCCAGACAUUUAUGUGCGGGAGUCAGACUGCGAGUGAUAAGAUCCGUAGUCGAAAGGGAAACAGCCCAGAUCACCAGUUAAGGUCCCAAAAUUCAUGCUAAGUGGAAAAGGAUGUGGAGUUGCGCAGACAACUAGGACGUUGGCUCAGAAGCAGCCAUCAUUCAAAGAGUGCGUAAUAGCUCACUAGUCGAGUGACGCCGCGCCGAAAAUUUACCGGGGCUAAGCAUGAUACCGAAACUGUGGAUGUGCGUUUAUGCACGUGGUAGGAGAGCGUUCUAGCGGCGGUGAAGCAUGACYGAGAGGACAUGUGGAGCUUCUAGAAGUGAGAAUGCCGGUAUGAGUAACGAAAGA
rnacentral:rRNA from 1 species